UCGAGUCCACUCUUUACAAAAAUAAUAAUAAUAAUAUCACGCAACAUUCACGUCUGAACUUGACUUGGGCGCGCGUAGCAGAUUCGUCCUCUGCUGCAAACACACAACUGCUGGAAAUAAUUUUGCAAAUAUGCAAAGAAUAAAAAAGUGAGGCAAUGUACCAAACCUGAUAUAUUUCUACUAUACAAAUACAAUACUAACCCAGUCUUUCCCCCCC